UAUUACAAUGAAGAGUUUGAUCCUGGCUCAGGAUGAACGCUAGCUACAGGCUUAACACAUGCAAGUCGAGGGGCAGCAUGGUCUUAGCUUGCUAAGGCCGAUGGCGACCGGCGCACGGGUGAGUAACACGUAUCCAACCUGCCGUCUACUCUUGGACAGCCUUCUGAAAGGAAGAUUAAUACAAGAUGGCAUCAUGAGUCCGCAUGUUCACAUGAUUAAAGGUAUUCCGGUAGACGAUGGGGAUGCGUUCCAUUAGAUAGUAGGCGGGGUAACGGCCCACCUAGUCUUCGAUGGAUAGGGGUUCUGAGAGGAAGGUCCCCCACAUUGGAACUGAGACACGGUCCAAACUCCUACGGGAGGCAGCAGUGAGGAAUAUUGGUCAAUGGGCGAGAGCCUGAACCAGCCAAGUAGCGUGAAGGAUGACUGCCCUAUGGGUUGUAAACUUCUUUUAUAAAGGAAUAAAGUCGGGUAUGCAUACCCGUUUGCAUGUACUUUAUGAAUAAGGAUCGGCUAACUCCGUGCCAGCAGCCGCGGUAAUACGGAGGAUCCGAGCGUUAUCCGGAUUUAUUGGGUUUAAAGGGAGCGUAGAUGGAUGUUUAAGUCAGUUGUGAAAGUUUGCGGCUCAACCGUAAAAUUGCAGUUGAUACUGGAUAUCUUGAGUGCAGUUGAGGCAGGCGGAAUUCGUGGUGUAGCGGUGAAAUGCUUAGAUAUCACGAGGAACUCCGAUUGCGAAGGCAGCCUGCUAAGCUGCAACUGACAUUGAGGCUCGAAAGUGUGGGUAUCAAACAGGAUUAGAUACCCUGGUAGUCCACACGGUAAACGAUGAAUACUCGCUGUUUGCGAUAUACGGCAAGCGGCCAAGCGAAAGCGUUAAGUAUUCCACCUGGGGAGUACGCCGGCAACGGUGAAACUCAAAGGAAUUGACGGGGGCCCGCACAAGCGGAGGAACAUGUGGUUUAAUUCGAUGAUACGCGAGGAACCUUACCCGGGCUUAAAUUGCAGAUGAAUUACGGUGAAAGCCGUAAGCCGCAAGGCAUCUGUGAAGGUGCUGCAUGGUUGUCGUCAGCUCGUGCCGUGAGGUGUCGGCUUAAGUGCCAUAACGAGCGCAACCCUUGUUGUCAGUUACUAACAGGUUCUGCUGAGGACUCUGACAAGACUGCCAUCGUAAGAUGUGAGGAAGGUGGGGAUGACGUCAAAUCAGCACGGCCCUUACGUCCGGGGCUACACACGUGUUACAAUGGGGGGUACAGAGGGCCGCUACCACGCGAGUGGAUGCCAAUCCCAAAAACCUCUCUCAGUUCGGACUGGAGUCUGCAACCCGACUCCACGAAGCUGGAUUCGCUAGUAAUCGCGCAUCAGCCACGGCGCGGUGAAUACGUUCCCGGGCCUUGUACACACCGCCCGUCAAGCCAUGGGAGCCGGGGGUACCUGAAGUGCGUAACCGCGAGGAGCGCCCUAGGGUAAAACUGGUGACUGGGGCUAAGUCGUAACAAGGUAGCCGUACCGGAAG
rnacentral:rRNA from 2 species